rnacentral:rRNA from 1 species
AAACUUAAAGGAAUUGACGGGGGCCCGCACAAGCGGAGGAACAUGUGGUUUAAUUCGAUGAUACGCGAGGAACCUUACCUGGGCUUAAAUGAGGAGUGACAGCUGGCGAAAGUUGGUUUUCUUCGGACACUCUUCAAGGUGCUGCAUGGUUGUCGUCAGCUCGUGCCGUGAGGUGUCGGGUUAAGUCCCAUAACGAGCGCAACCCUUACUGUUAGUUGCCAGCGGGUAAUGCCGGGAACUCUAGCGGGACUGCCACCGUAAGGUGAGAGGAAGGUGGGGAUGACGUCAAAUCAGCACGGCCCUUAUGUCCAGGGCUACACACGUGUUACAAUGGCCGGUACAAAGGGCAGCUACACCGCGAGGUGAUGCUAAUCUCGAAAGCCGGUCUCAGUUCGGAUCGAAGUCUGCAACCCGACUUCGUGAAGUUGGAUUCGCUAGUAAUCGCGCACCAGCCAUGGCGCGGUGAAUACGUUCCCGGGCCUU